CACCGACCGAGAGAGACAGAAAAGGAGGCGGUCGAGGGAAUCUGAGAAGGCGCACAAGGUUUGUGUCCAAUACGCUCCACACCUUGCGCUACUCAGGUCUGCUCGUGCCCUCCCAUGGUAUCAGCUCUCCUGCGAUGUGGGGA
rnacentral:pre_miRNA from 2 species